GUUCUGACAAUAUUUUUUAGCCACAGCACCUAAGAUGAAUUUUGAGUCUUUAUUAUGGAAAGCUUUAACAAAGUAUUCUGAAUAUCUCUGGUACAAAACACAAUUAAAAUUUAUAUUUAGUCUAAUUUGCUGUAUCAUUCAUUUACAGAUAUGAAAAUAGCACACUGAGGUUUGGUUAUGUAGAAGUAGUUGUUGGAAACAUAACAAGAUGUUUUGUAAAAUCCCAAAACAAGAUAUAAUUUUUCCUGAGGACUUGAUAUUCAAGAAUAGAGGAAAAGGUAUAAAAAAUGAAAGCAUUCCCGAAAGAUAUGUAAUUUGGAAUAACAACAGAAAAAAGAAUAGCAUAGAUGUGUGCAUAAGAAGUGCCAUCACCAGACACUGGCAACAAACAGAAGCUAUGCUUUCUGUCUAGAAAUCAUGUGUCAGACUACAAACCUCAGGCAAAAGUUAGCAACAACUUGAUGGUGAAAUAACAACAGAAGAGUGAAAAUCUUUGGACGUAAAUGGAGCUCCAAACUGUCUCAGCUUUCAGUGGCCAAAAAUAAACUGGCUCUUGGCUGAAAGACA
rnacentral:lncRNA from 1 species